rnacentral:rRNA from 1 species
GCCUUGCGCGGAUAGAUGAGCCGAUGUCGGAUUAGCUAGUUGGCGGGGUAAAGGCCCACCAAGGCGACGAUCCGUAGCUGGUCUGAGAGGAUGAUCAGCCACACUGGAACUGAGACACGGUCCAGACUCCUACGGGAGGCAGCAGUGGGGAAUAUUGGACAAUGGGCGCAAGCCUGAUCCAGCCAUACCGCGUGGGUGAAGAAGGCCUUCGGGUUGUAAAGCCCUUUUGUUGGGAAAGAAAAGCAGUCGGCUAAUACCCGGUUGUUCUGACGGUACCCAAAGAAUAAGCACCGGCUAACUUCGUGCCAGCAGCCGCGGUAAUACGAAGGGUGCAAGCGUUACUCGGAAUUACUGGGCGUAAAGCGUGCGUAGGUGGUUGUUUAAGUCUGUUGUGAAAGCCCUGGGCUCAACCUGGGAAUUGCAGUGGAUACUGGGCGA